UAGAUAUGAUCUUGAUAGAAGCUCAAGAAGUUUCCUUGGGAUUCCUCAAUAGUAAAAGUUAGGAAAUAUGUGUGAGUCUAAAUAACAUUGAAAAAAUUUCAGAUAUGGUGUAAUAACACCCAAGUGUUUUAUUUGUUUGUUCUGACCUUCAUAUUUUAAUGUAAUCUCUAGUUAACCAAAGGUGAAGCUGGGAAACAUAAAUGGAUAGAAUAUCAAAAAUCUUGGCAAUGAAUCAAGAUUUUCUCUUCCUAUGAAAGAAGUUCUACUUGCUUCAGUGACUUACUGCCAUGUACUGGUCUCAAAGACUUCCCAGUCUUAAAAGAAGUCCUACUGACUGUCGGGAGCAUUACAAAGAAAUAAGAAUAAAAAUCUUGUACCAUGCAGAAAUCCACUGAUCUUUGUGUAUGAGAGAAAGACAUAAAGCUUCUGGGUAUUUCAAAAAGAAGACUUUACUCCUGAACUGAUAGAUAUUGAAAAGGAUUUUCAACUACUUACUCGUAAGGUAUAACUACAAUAUGAGAAGCCCUCAGAACUAAACAGGCUGUCCAUUAGGUAUGAAUAGCAACUACCAUUCCAUUAAGCA